GUAACAGGUGUCAUUGACGGGUGUCAGUGACAGGUGUCAGAGACAGUUGUCAGUGACAGGUGUCAGUGACAGGUGUCAGUGACAGGUGUCAGUGACAGGUGUCAGUAUCAUGUGUCAGUGACAGGCGUCAGUGACAGGUGUCAGCUGACAGGUGUCAGUGACAGGUGUCAGUGACAUGUGUAAGUGACAGGUGUCAGUGCCAGGUGUCUGUGACAAGUGUCAGUGACAGGCGUCAGUGACAGGUGUCAGUGACAGGUGUAUGUAACAGGUGUCAUUGACGGGUGUCAGUGACAGGUGUCAGAGACAGUUGUCAGUGACAGGUGUUAGUGACAGGUGUCAGUGACAGGUGUCAGUGACAGGUGUCAGUAUCAUGUGUCAGUGACAGGUGUCAGUGACAGGUGUCUGUGAAAUGUGUCAGUGACAGGUGUACGUGACAGGUGUCACUGACAGGUGUCAGUGACAGGUGUCAGUGACAUGUGUCAGUGACAUGUGUAAGUGACAGGUGUCAGUGACAGGUGUCAGUGACAGGUGUCUGUGACAUGUGUCAGUGACAGGUGUACGUGACAGGUGUCUGUGAAAUGUGUCAGUGACAGGUGUACGUGACAGGUGUCAGUGACAGGUAUCAAUGACAUGUAUCAGUGACAGGUGUCAGUGACAUGUGUAAGUGACAGGUGUCAGUGACAGGUGUCAGUGACAGGUGUCAGUAUCAUGUGUCAGUGACAGGUGUCAGUGACAGGUGUCAGUGACAGGUAUCAGUGAUAUAUGUCAGUGACAGG